CUUCUUUUUUAAGCAGCAUUUUCGUUUGUAGAAAAUUGUGGAUCAAACCAAGUUUUAUAGCCAUCUACACCUCUCACUAGUAUGACAUUAGCAUAAAAUUCCAUUAUAUUGACAACGAUGUGUGAACAAAACAAACUAACAUGAUAGGUAACCAGGUGCUCCGCAGGGCGCAGCUUUAUACGACCGCAGAGGUCGAACCCUGAACAGUUGGGGCAAGUAUGGACAAAACAUUCAAGCGUGAUACAGCUCUGAAUUUGGAUUGUGAUCAAAUUUUUGACAUUACAUGGUUUUUUUUACACAAAACAAAUGUCAAGAUUUUACAAAUCAAUUAAAGAUUUCUUCUUCAAACUUAUUUAAAUCUAAAAUUAAAUAGUUGACACAGCAUAGGUUUCUGACACAGAAUGAAUGUGGUCUAAUGAACUUAAAAUAUUUU
rnacentral:lncRNA from 1 species